rnacentral:rRNA from 1 species
UGGGGAAUAUUGGACAAUGGGGGGAACCCUGAUCCAGCCAUGCCGCGUGUGUGAAGAAGGCCUUAUGGUUGUAAAGCACUUUAAGCGAGGAGGAGGGUACUGGUAUUAACACUACCAGCUACUGGACGUUACUCGCAGAAUAAGCACCGGCUAACUCUGUGCCAGCAGCCGCGGUAAUACAGAGGGUGCGAGCGUUAAUCGGAUUUACUGGGCGUAAAGCGUGCGUAGGCGGCUAAUUGAGUCGGAUGUGAAAUCCCCGAGCUUAACUUGGGAAUUGCAUUCGAUACUGGUUAGCUAGAGUGUGGGAGAGGAUGGUAGAAUUCCAGGUGUAGCGGUGAAAUGCGUAGAGAUCUGGAGGAAUACCGAUGGCGAAGGCAGCCAUCUGGCCUAACACUGACGCUGAGGUACGAAAGCAUGGGGAGCAAACAGG